GUGCUUGCUUCGGCCGCACAUAUACUAAAACUGGAAUGAUACAGAGAAAAUCAGCAUGGCCUCUGUGCAGGGAUGAGACAUGAAUUCACGAAGUGUUCCAUUUGUAA
ensembl:snRNA U6 U6 spliceosomal RNA